rnacentral:rRNA from 1 species
AUCGAACGCUGGCGGCAGGCCUAACACAUGCAAGUCGAGCGGCGCGGCCGACGGGUGCGUAAUACCUAGGAAUCUGCCUGGUCGUCGGGCAUAACGUUCCGAAACGGACGCUAAUACCUCAUACUAUCAGAUGAGCCUUGGUCGGAUUAGCUAGUUGUGGAGGUAAUGGCUCACCACGGCAACGAUCCGUAACUGGUCUGAGAGGAUGAUCCGUAACACUGGAAAUGAGACACGGUCCGUACUCCUACGGGAGGCAGCAGUGGGGAAUAUGGGACAAUGGGCGAAAGCCUGAGCCAGCCAUGCCGCGGGUGUGAAGAAGGUCUUCGGAUUGUAAAGCACUUUAAGGUGGGAGGCGUUACCGACAGAAGAAGCACCGGCUAACUAUGUGCCAGCAGCCGCGGUAAUAC